rnacentral:rRNA from 1 species
AAACUGGGAUUAGAUACCCCAUUAUUCCUAGACAUAAAUAGGUCUUACAUACCUACCAGAGAACUACGAGCUACAACUUAAAACUCAAAGAACUUGGCGGUGCCUUUAGACCCCUCAGGGGAACCUGUUUCAUAAUCGACAAUCCUCGUUAGACCUCACCUUUUUUAGCUAUUCAGUAUGUAUACCGUCGUCGUCAGGUAACUUUUUAGAACAUAGAAGUUAGCGAAAAAGAAUAUCUUACCUCUUACGUCAGAUCAAGGUGCAGCCAAUAAAAAGGAGAAAAUGGGUUACAAUUAAUAAUUAUAACUACGGAAAAAUAGAUGAAAUCUAUUAAAUGAAGGAGGACUUGAAAGUAAACUAAUAUUUAUAAAAACUAUCUGAAUUAUGUUGGCUCUAAGGCGUGC